CGGCUGUAGCAACAGCAACCAAUGGGAAGAAAACUGGUCGGAUUGCUUUGAAAUUUUCCAUAGGCAUUCCGCUUACCGAAUUUCCCAUAUCG
rfam:Musa acuminata subsp. malaccensis Doubled-haploid Pahang (DH-Pahang) genomic chromosome, chr3